AGCGAACACUGGCGGCAGGCCUAACACAUGCAAGUCGAACGACCUCUUCGUAGUUAGUUGCGGACGGGUGAGUAACACGUGGGAACGUUCCUUUAGGUUCGGAAUAACUCAUGUUAACUUGUGCUAAUACCGAAUGUGCCCUUCGGGUAACAGAUUUAUCGCCUUUGGAGCGGCCCGCGUCUGAUUAGCUAGUUGGUGAGGUAAAGGCGCACCAAGGCGACGAUCAGUAGCUGGUCUGAGAGGAUGAUCAGCCACAUUGGGACUGAGAUACGGCCAAAACUACUACGGGAGGCAGCAGUGGGGAAUCUUGCGAAAUGGGCGAAAGCCUGACGCAGCCAUGCCGCGUGAAUGAUGAAGGUCUGAGGAUUGUAAAAUUCUUUAACAGGGGACGAUAAUGACGGUACCCGGAGAAGAAGCCCCGGCUAACUUCGUG
rnacentral:rRNA from 1 species